rnacentral:lncRNA from 1 species
UUUCAACAUCAUCAUGAAAUAUUUAACAAGCUAGAGAACACAUAGGCUAGCACAAUACGUAGUUUCACAUAGUUCAUCCAUAUAUAUACAUACAUACGUUUUACAUUGUUCGUCAAUACAAAUGAAAAAACUAAACACUAGCAGUCCAUCAAUGCCAGCUUCCAUGAAAUGAAUCAAAUCUGCAAAAACGAGAGUAAUUAAGAAAGUUAGAAG